rnacentral:rRNA from 1 species
CCCGACUGCUAUUUGGGUGAGGAUAAGCCAUGCGAGUUGAAUGGGAAACCUAAAAAUCCCAUGGCAAACUGCUCAGUAACACAUGAUCAACUUGCCCUAUAGAGGAAAAUAACCUCGGGAAACUGAGGAUAAUGUUCCAUAGUUGAAUCGGCUUGGAAAAGUUUUUUAAUAAAAGGGAUAAGGAAAAUGGUCCUUAUCUGCUAUAGGAUAGGAUCGUGCUCGAUUAUGGUUGUUGGUGAGGUAAAGGCUCACCAAGCCGAUAAUCGAUAGGGGCCGUGAGAGCGGGAGCCCCGAGAUGGGUACUGAGACAACGACCCAGGCCUUAUGAGGCGCAGCAGGCGCGAAACCUCCGCAAUACACGAAAGUGUGACGGGGUUACCCAAAGUGUUCUAUUUAGAACUGUGGUAGGUGAGUAAUGUUCCCUACCAGAAAGGAGAGGGCAAGGCUGGUGCCAGCCGCCGCGGUAAAACCAGCUCUUCAAGUGGUCGGGAUAAUAUUGGGCUUAAAGUGUCCGCAGCCGGUUUAGUAAGUUCCUGGUAAAAUCGGGUAGCUUAACUAUCUAUAUGCUAGGAAUACUGCUAUACUAGAGGCGGGAAAGGUCUGAGGUACUACAGGGGUAGGGGUGAAAUCUUAUAAUCCUUGUAGGACCACCAGUGGCGAAGGCGUCAGACUGGAACGCGCCUGACGGUGAGGGACGAAAGCCAGGGGAGCGAACCGGAUUAGAUACCCGGGUAGUCCUGGCCGUAAACGAUGCAUACUAGGUGAUGGCACGGCCAUGAGCCGUGUCAGUGCCGUAGGGAAACCGUUAAGUGUGCCGCCUGGGAAGUACGGUCGCAAGGCUAAAACUUAAAGGAAUUGGCGGGGGAGCACCACAAGGGGUGAAGCCUGCGGUUCA